GACUAACGUCACCUGCUUCUUGUCAGAGGGAUCCAUAAGGUUACUGAGUGCAAGAAGUAUCGGGCCUUGACCACAGAGGGUGGUUAGCGUGCAGCACUGCAGUACACACAACCCAACCUGCUGCAAAAUGACUCCCCCAGAUGGAUCCUCUCCAUUGAGGACAAUAUAAGUCAGACAUUAGAAGGUGGGGCACAAUGCUGCGCUUGGGAAGAUGCUUUCCUUUGAAAUAAGGCUGAGCUACAAGGAAAAUUGCCUGCAGAAGAGCUUUGCUGAAUUUAAGAGAUGUUGAAAGCUUCUGGCUGAGAGAGCAGGAGAGGCCCUUAUGCUGCAAGGACUCAGUGACCACAAGGUA
rnacentral:lncRNA from 1 species